AUGAUCUUCACAGACUUGGCUCAGUGUCAACACAGCAGCUCUUUCCCUAUAGGUCUUACUCCAUGAAACCAGUUGCUGAGACUAAAGGUCCCCACCUUCCCACAGCCAUCUGUGCCUCCUCCUCCCCAGGGCUUUUCCUAAGCAAUCAGAGACUGUGCCUGCAUGUAGCCUGUCUUUGCUCUACCCAUUUCAUGCCUCUCCUGGUUCUGGAAGUCAGGUGGGGGGAGGGGAGCUUGUCACAGCAGGAGGGGGAGACACCCUUAACUCUUUACUAGCCUGUCUCGUCUCUGCCUCUUGGCCUCCCUAUCCCACUCUCCUGCUUCAGCUUCUGACUCUGAUUCUGGACUUAUCUCUGCCACAGACUCUCCCAGCUCCCUAAGACUUGUUAGCUCUCAUCAACUCUUCCUAGUCUUUACCCUGUGACCACUCAUCAUUAUCCCCCCACCACUCUCCAGGGUCUGAGUCUUCUUCCCUUGGUGGUUUCCACAGCUGGUUCCUCCCACCAUUUCUCUGCAUCCAGUCAGUCCAUGAUACCUUAACAGCAGCCACCCAAUGAGGAAGCUGGGUGUGGCAAUAUCUGGAGAAAGUCCUGCAUGACCAGAGAGACCUGAAGGGACUCAUUUGGGCCCCUGGGCCUGAGGUUCUGUAUCCCUCAUCUGUGUAUCCCUUGUAAUGAAAGAGGAAUGCAUCCAAGUUCUGUUUUGUUUGCAUAUGUACUAAAACCCAUUCAAACAUCACAAAACCCCUCUGUCGCUGAUAUUUUCCACUUGAUGUUGUAAGCUUCUUUUUGUUAACCUUUGUGGGAUGUAAAGCUGCAGUCAAGUGCAACAUUCCGACAGAGGACUAACGGCCUCCAUGUUCUUACUGGUUGCUGUGACAACCAGUUUGUCGGUUGCUGGUAGUUUUGAAAGAUAACUGCUCAGUUGCAGUCACCUCAGGACCGACUUCCCUCUGGUAUAGUUUAUUUGCUUAUUAUGUAACCUAAGCCUGCCUUCAGGUACAGUUCUGUAAACCUGAAUGAAUCUGAGAGUAAAAUAGUUUUAUAUUAACAUGAAUCAGAUUUGUGUGUGUAUUCUUUAAGAGGGAUUCAAAGGGAUUUUUAACCAGGAAGGCAUCUUUAUUAGUAGAACUCAGACGAGUCAGCAACAAGCUGAUGGCUGCAUAAACUUAUAAAGGGGAUUGUUUAACUCUGCUAAAGUAAACCUUCCCACAACCUUGAGUUUCAGGUACAUAUGCGUAAGUCUGGAAGUGGUGAGGAAUUAAUAUGCAAUACUUUUCUCACUUCAAAAUGUAAGUCAUCCUUGCUGAAUUUGGACCCCUUUUGCUCAUUUUACUGAAUGAGACCUCUGAACUCCUGCCCCAAAGUUCCACCCUGAUGGUGACGCUGAAUGAAGAUCGACAGUUUGUUCUCCAUCACCCAUGGGGCAGGGCUCGAACUGAAGGGAGGGAGGGAGGGUUGUUACACAUUUGUCCCCCCCCCCCCAGCACUUUCUGCAUCUGCCACCAGGGCCUGGGGCUAUGAGAGGCAGCAGCAGAGCCACCCAGUAAGGAAGUCUUCAUGACCUGUGUGGGAGGAAUUGCUUCAGUGGUCAGCCCUAGGCAUUUGUUGGAACAUAAGGGAACAAGGAGGAAAAACUUAUACAGUGGUAGCUUGGUUUCUGAAAGUCUUGGAAGUCGAAUGUUUCGGUUUUCAAAUGCCGAAAACCCGGAAGUAAGUGCUUCCGUUUUUGAACAUGCCUUGGAAGUUGAAUGGUUUCCGCUGCGUGUUUCUCAGUUUUCUCAAUUAAAUUUGCAGGCUGCCCUUUGCGCCUGUUUUAGGAUGUUUCGGAAGUCGAAUGGUCUUCCAGAAUGGAUUACGUUCGAAAACCGAG